GUUUAUUUAUAACAAUAAGAGAAAUAAAGAAUAUCAUAUCCACUCUUCUCUUAAAAGGAAAACUGAUUUUAAAAUUUUCAGUUAGUUUAUUUUCUUGAAUAAGUAUUUUAAGCCUGAAUGUUCCUAAAUAUUUCGAAGUUCUCUUACAGUAUGGUUAAAAUUGCCAUCAUGAAAUCUUUUUGCAAAAAUAACAGUUUAUUUUCAUUUUGUUAAAAAUGCUAGCACAGCAGAAUUGUACUCUUGAAUUGAGUAAAUUUAUAAGAAAAUUAAAAUUUCAAUGCUGGGGAACUAUACCUAUCAUAUAUUACUUUGGAAUUUUUUUUUAUCUUCUUUUAUCACUCUUUGCUGUUAUCAAAACUGCUAGUUUCCACUUUUCAAAAAAUAAGCAAAACUUGAUGUAUUUUUGAAAUAAUGCUGCUUUGCAAAAUUUCUGAGACUUAAGAUAUCAAUAUUAAGGGCAUUCCAUAAGAACUGAGAGUCGCAAAACCACGAAAUUAAGAAAAAUAAUAAAGCUGUCAAUUUUUCAAAAGUAUUUAAAUGUUCAUUAAAGUUCUAAAUGAAGCUGAAUAUUUUAUUUUCCUAGUUUCAUAUUCAUUUAAAGAACUGUUUUUAAUUGCUCUACAGAAAUAGAGUUGAAUGGGUCAGAGUUAACAGUAGAAUGUCACUACUUCUGUUUAGCAAUAUUUUUAUAAAUCCAAUAUUAAAAUUAUGCCAUAUCUUCCUUUCAGUUCUGAUCUCACACCAUGCGAUUUCUGGCUGUUUCUGAUGUUGAAAGAGAAGUUCCGUAGAAAAUUUUUUUAUUACAGAUUCUGAUGUUAUUUGAGCAAUGCAGUGCUCCUUAAUUCAGCUUCUUUACUUGUUUUGAAAAGCGGUGAAUGAUGGGAUUGUUGUAUAUCAACAGAAGGAAGGUCGCAUGCUAUAUAAUGCUGUACUUGAUCAUGAAUCUGAUGAUGCUUUGAAACCAAAUGCAAGCCCUUUUGAUCAUGAAGAAGAUAAAAAAGAGGAUAAUUUCCAAAUUUCUUAAGAUAGUUAAUGGUUGAUAUAUAACUCCUUGACGAGGAAAUGAGCAAAAUGAAAAAAUCCUUAGUAAGGCCUUGGCUCACAAGGGGCUAUUGAAUCAGCAAAGGAAGUAAAUGGAGGUUGAUAUGCAAUCAAAAUUCUUGAUUGUGUUAGAUGACACUGGAAUAGCAGUUAUAGUUGAUAGUGUAGAGUCCAGCCGAUCGUAACAUGGCCUACAGCUUUUGUUGUUCACCUCAUUGCUAUAACGAAACCCAGCAGAUCUCAUUCAAAAGGUAUGUGGUGUUGUUGGCUGCUGAUGUGUUACAACACUUUUUAUUAUUUUCAUAUUUCUUUGUAUUAUUCAUUGUAUUCUUUAUAUCAUAUUUUAUAACACACACACAGAUAUAUAUAUAUACAGAGAUGAUUGUGCUCUGGAAAAAAUAUGGAUUUCCGAAUUUUUCGCUAAUUGCGAUCUGAAAGUUUUCGGAAAUCCAAGGUCCAUAGGUUUUAAGAAAUCAACCAUCACAUUUAUGUAUAAAAAUUCAUGUAUAAAUUUUACAAGCACUCGUUGCGACGCACGCGGCUCCUGUUAUUGUACACAACAAGUAUAUUCUAGUAAAAUAUAUUCUUUAUUUGUACCUGAACUUGUAUAGUUUUGAAACAUAAGUAAUUGUUUUUAUAUGUAAAAAUUAACAGUUGUCGUGUUUGUAACCACAACGUUGUUCAAUUAAAUCUUUAC